UACGUAGGGUGCGAGCGUUGUCCGGAAUUAUUGGGCGUAAAGAGCUUGUAGGCGGUUUGUCGCGUCUGCUGUGAAAAUCCGGGGCUCAACCCCGAACUUGCAGUGGGUACGGGCAGACUAGAGUGUGGUAGGGGGAGACUGGAAUUCCUGGUGUAGCGGUGAAAUGCGCAGAUAUCAGGAGGAACACCGAUGGCGAAGGCAGUUCUCUGGGCCGUAACUGACGCUGAGGAGCGAAAGUGUGGGGAGCGAACAGG
rnacentral:rRNA from 1 species